rnacentral:rRNA from 1 species
UCCCAUUCCGAACAGGAUGGUUAAGCACUAAAGCGCUGAUGGUACUACAAGGGAGGCCUUGUGGGAGAGUAAGUCGUCGCCGGGU